UACGUAGGGACCGAGCGUUGUCCGGAAUCAUUGGGCGUAAAGAGCGUGUAGGCGGCCACUUAAGUCCUGCGUGAAAUCUUGCGGCUCAACCGCAAGCGGUCGUGGGAAACUGGGUGGCUAGAGUGCGGGAGAGGAGAGUGGAAUUCCUGGUGUAGCGGUGGAAUGCGCAGAUAUCCGGAAGAACACCGGAGGCGAAGGCGGCUGACUGGACCUGG
rnacentral:rRNA from 1 species